ensembl:lncRNA
CGAAAGUGUUUGAAUACCCGAAGCUGCAGAGUGGAAACUCUCAAACGGCCACGCAGUGUCGAACCCUUCCGGAACCAUCAUGCCCAUCCUGAAGAAGCUCCCUGGGAGGUCCCGGAGUAACCUCAGCAACGGUGACGUGAUGCUCAAGAAUAACCAUGGCAAUAGCGAAACAACGCUACAGAGUAACCCCGGCAACGGCGAACUCAUACUUCCGCCAUCCAGCCUCAACCCCUUCGACGACGUGGACCUAGACAUAGGUUGGAACGAGGAAGAAGGCGGGGUAUGGGAGAGAGGGCGGGGCCUGACGAGGUCUUCACAUGAUGGGGAGGCACUGGAGAAUGAGCUGAAUGCAGAGCUGCAUGGAGGGUUGAAGGUCACAGACAGGUCGAAGGGUAGCUCUCCUCUGAGAGGGACCCUGGAGCGCAUAUGUGGGCUCGUCACCGCUGAAGACGUUGGGAAAACUGAGCAAGGGGCUGCGCCUGACUGGACGAAACGUGUGGAGCAACACCCUGCCGGCCACGCCCACUACCGGGAAGGAGAAGAAGAAGAAGAAGAAUCAUAGGAGACCAUCCGAGGAGAUCAUGACCUUGCUGAG